GUGUUUCCCUAAUUGACUCAGAAAUAGCCCACUGAACACCAAAAGUGGAGAACACCAACUGCUAUAAUAAUCUUGCCUUGUCACAAUGAAGAAGGUUAUGAUCAAUGGACUCUGACUUCUCUUUGCACAAAGCACAUCUAUUGGCCAAAAUCCACCCUCUUUUUUUAAGCUGAACCAAGUCAAAACCUUUCCCCAAUAAGCCUUCCAAGUGAAGAAACUCACCUUCGAAGGAAUCCAAGUGUUCCAAGCUAUCUUCAAAGGGAAAUGGAUAGUACCAUCAAUCUCGAACAAAGAAUAAAGCCCCCUUACAGAGAAAACGCUUUUGUUCUUGCCCUUCCAAACAACUCUAUCCUCUUGUUCCCCCUUAAAUGAAUGCCCUUGGAGUUUAGAAAGAAAACGCUCUAUGACACCCA
rnacentral:lncRNA from 1 species